CCUACGGGGGGCAGCAGUGGGGAAUAUUGGACAAUGGGGGCAACCCUGAUCCAGCCAUGCCGCGUGUGUGAAGAAGGCCCUCGGGUUGUAAAGCACUUUCAGUGAGGAAGAACGCCUGGUGGUUAAUACCCAUCAGGAAAGACAUCACUCACAGAAGAAGCACCGGCUAACUCCGUGCCAGCAGCCGCGGUAAUACGGAGGGUGCGAGCGUUAAUCGGAAUUACUGGGCGUAAAGCGCGCGUAGGUGGCUUGAUAAGCCGGUUGUGAAAGCCCCGGGCUCAACCUGGGAACGGCAUCCGGAACUGUCAAGCUAGAGUGCAGGAGAGGAAGGUAGAAUUUCCGGUGUAGCGGUGAAAUGCGUAGAGAUCGGGAGGAAUACCAGUGGCGAAGGCGGCCUUCUGGACUGACACUGACACUGAGGUGCGAAAGCGUGGGUAGCAAACAGGAUUAGAUACCCUUGUAGUC
rnacentral:rRNA from 1 species